CCUACGGGUGGCAGCAGUGAGGAAUAUUGGUCAAUGGCCGUAAGGCUGAACCAGCCAUGCCGCGUGCAGGAAGCAGGCUCUAUGGUUUGUAAACUUCUUUUAUAGGAGAAUAAAGCUAACUACGUGUGGUUAUCUGCAUGUACUCUACGAAUAAGGAUCGGCUAACUCCGUGCCAGCAGCCGCGGUAAUACGGAGGAUGCGAGCGUUAUCCGGAUUUAUUGGGUUUAAAGGGUGCGUAGGUUGAUUUUUAAGUCAGAGGUGAAAGGUUCUGGCUUAACCAGGAAACUGCCGUUGAUACUGGAGAACUAGAGAGUAGAUGAGGUAGGCGGAAUGCAUGGUGUAGCGGUGAAAUGCUUAGAGAUCACACAGAACACCGAUUGCGAAGGCAGCUUACUAAGCCAUAACUGACGCUGAGGCACGAAAGCGUGGGGAUCAAACAGGAUUAGAUACCCGAGUAGUC
rnacentral:rRNA from 1 species